rnacentral:rRNA from 1 species
AUUGAACGCUGGCGGCAGGCCUAACACAUGCAAGUCGAGCGGAUGAUGGGAGCUUGCUCCUGGAUUCAGCGGCGGACGGGUGAGUAAUGCCUAGGAAUCUGCCUGGUAGUGGGGGACAACGUUUCGAAAGGAACGCUAAUACCGCAUACGACCUACGGGAGAAAGCAGGGGACCUUCGGGCCUUGCGCUAUCAGAUGAGCCUAGGUCGGAUUAGCUAGUAGGUGAGGUAAAGGCUCACCUAGGCGACGAUCCGUAACUGGUCUGAGAGGAUGAUCAGUCACACUGGAACUGAGACACGGUCCAGACUCCUACGGGAGGCAGCAGUGGGGAAUAUUGGACAAUGGGCGAAAGCCUGAUCCAGCCAUGCCGCGUGUGUGAAGAAGGUCUUCGGAUUGUAAAGCACUUUAAGUUGGGAGGAAGGGCAGUAAGUUAAUACCUUGCUGUUUUGACGUUACCGACAGAAUAAGCACCGGCUAACUUCGUGCCAGCCGCCGCAGUAAGAC